AUACGUAGGGGGCAAGCGUUGUCCGGAAUUAUUGGGCGUAAAGGGCGCGUAGGCGGAUACCUAAGUCUGGUGUGAAAACCCAGGGCUCAACCGUGGGAUUGCAUUGGAAACUGGGUAUCUUGAGUGCAGGAGAGGAAAGUGGAAUUCCACGUGUAGCGGUGAAAUGCGUAGAGAUGUGGAGGAACACCAGUGGCGAUGGCGACUUUCUGGACUGUAACUGACGCUGAGGCGCGAAAGCGUGGGGAGCAAACAGGAUUAGAUACCCUGGUAGUCCACGCCGUAAACGAUGAGUGCUAGGUGUAGGAGGUAUCGACCCCUUCUGUGCCGCAGUAAACACAAUAAGCACUCCGCCUGGGGAGUACGGCCGCAAGGUUGAA
rnacentral:rRNA from 1 species